AUAAAAUCCCGACACCGGCGCAAUUGACGAACACCUACGGUGGUAAUGUAUUGUAUAUUUUGGUACGUAAGGCGAUGGAAAGAAACAAACACGUUUAAAUGUAUGGUAAAAUCAAAGUGACAAUUUAUACAACUAUCCGUGAUAAGAUAUAAAGAAUAACCAAAUGUAACAUUCCACUUACGGUAUCUGCACCGUUGUAUAGGUUUGGAAAAACUUAGGUGUGCUAGGAUUAAAAUCAUCAAAAGUGUGCGCUUUUGCUGGGCGAGAGAAGCCCA